GGAAACCACCAAUCCAAUGCCUUAUCAUUAGCCCUCUUUUUCUUUUCCACCUAAAUCAAAUCAAAGCCCAAUUCUUCUCCCUCAAUUCCAUCUAUGGCGACCAAAAUCCAACCCAGUACCAAUAACCAGACUCUUCUUCUGGGUCGGUACGAGAUCGGCAAGCUUCUUGGCCAUGGAGCCUUCGCCAAGGUCUACCAUGCCCGUAAUGUUAAGACCAACGAGAGCGUUGCCAUCAAAGUUAUUGACAAAGAGAAGAUUCUUAAGGGGGGUCUUAUGGCUCAUAUCAAGCGUGAAAUCUCCAUUCUCCGCCGUGUUCGCCACCCAAAUAUAGUUCAGCUUUUUGAGGUCAUGGCCACCAAGGCCAAGAUCUAUUUCGUUAUGGAAUACGUUCGCGGUGGUGAAUUGUUUAAUAAGGUCGCUAAGGGAAGGUUAAAAGAGGAGGUGGCUCGGAAAUAUUUCCAGCAAUUGAUAUCUGAGAUCUCGAUGAAACACGCCUCUGGCAUGACAAAACGAGAAAGCAG
rnacentral:misc_RNA from 1 species